GAAAGUCACUGUGCUCACCUGAAUACCACUGAUUUGCCUGCCCUUGUGUGGUUUCAGAAGCUAAGCAGGACUAGACCUGGUGAGUAUUUGGAUGGGAGACCAUCAGGAGAUAUUGGGUGUCAAUCUUG
rnacentral:rRNA from 1 species